rnacentral:lncRNA from 12 species
AGACCUACAAGAAUCUGACAAAUGAUAUGACUUCUUGAAGCAAGCAUUAUCAGGAUCAUAUUGUAUAACAGUACUGACCCUACAAGCUUUAUUCUCUUUUAUAUUCGGCACAUUUCCAUCUAUUUUGUCACCUUUGCUCAAAUAAUUUAAUAAUUAAACUGGAUUGCCAGGAUCCCAAUAAAAUGUAAGUGACAAAACAGACUUCCCUACCGUGCCAAUUGUGUCGAGGAUCGACCAGCUGUAACAAUUUACAUUGCUUAUUUAAGGAAAGAGCCAUAGGUGGUGGCAAUUGAAUCUAGGACCCAUCCAACAUAUCUAAAGCAUCUGAUAAAACCAGUGGUGUGCUGGUAAAUGUUUAACCACCAUCUCCCCGAAAAGAAAAGAAAAAAGAAAAGAAAAGAAAAGAAAAGAAAAGAAAAGAAAAGAAAAGAAAAGAAAAGAAAAGAAAAGAAAAGAAAAGAACCCUGAUUUAUAGUGUUUGUUGAUUUCAUGGUACAAAUACUCCCACCGUGGCCAUUUUGAAGCCAACAAUGUGAAGUCUCUGAACUCAGUCUUGGGAAGAGAUGCCACAGUGGGCUCUCGUGACUCGGCAGGAGCUGGUUCCAACACACUACUGAGUAAAAAAAAAAAAAGCACAAAAUGGAUCGCCUUUUCACAAAACCGCUCAAAAACUUUUCAAGGUCUGGUCUGAUAUAAUGAUUGGCAUCCAGAAGAAAGGCAUUCCAAGACCUGUCUCAAUAUAUAAAGCCCUUAUGGAUAAUAGGGAUGACAUUUCACCAACUCAGAAGUCUGCAAAGAUAGAAAGUUCAAGACCUCAGCUUUGGUCACAGAGUGAACUGUCUGGAGCCCGGAGAGGAAUCAACCCACUCUGCCCUCUACCCAUCACCAGGAAAACAAAAGGGAUCCUCUUUAGGGAAUCUCCAGUUCCUUUGCAUCCAAACACUCCUGGGGAAUUCUGAAGCCGAGCAGGGGUGGCCACGUGGCCUCCCAGCCUGGGGUUCACUCGGUGGUGGUCGAGUCACUCAGGCAACUGCAUCAUUUCAGUCCUUUUAUAUAAACGCUCCCGCCACCGCCAACAAUGGGAUCAUUUCAUGGCAAGUACAGAGAAGCCUCGCUCUUUAGGUUUUCCUACUUGACGCUCGAUGGAAAAUAUUUCAAUAAUGGUCCUUUAAUGUAUUUCUUUCCAAUAAUUAAACCGUGAAUGUUUAAUUGUAUCACCGCG